rnacentral:rRNA from 1 species
GAUGCAUAGCCCGAGUUGAGAGACUGAUCGGGCCACAUUGGGGACUGAGACACGGGCCCAAACUCCUACGGGAGGCAGCAGUAGGGAAUCUUCCACAAUGGACGCAAGUCUGAUGGAGCAAACGCCGCGUGAGUGAAGAAGGGUUUCGGCUCGUAAAAAGCUCUGUUGUCGGUGAAGAAGGACAGGGGUAGUAACUGACCCUUUGUUUUGACGGUAAUCAAUUAGAAAGUCACGGGCUAACUACGUGCCAGCAGCCGCGGUAAAU